rnacentral:rRNA from 1 species
GCAUGUGCUGUGAGCUCGAUGAGUAGGGCGGGACACGUGGUAUCCUGUCUGAAUAUGGGGGGACCAUCCUCCAAGGCUAAAUACUCCUGACUGACCGAUAGUGAACCAGUACCGUGAGGGAAAGGCGAAAAGAACCCCGGCGAGGGGAGUGAAAAAGAACCUGAAACCGUGUACGUACAAGCAGUGGGAGCACAGGUUUACCUGUGUGACUGCGUACCUUUUGUAUAAUGGGUCAGCGACUUAUAUUCUGUAGCAAGGUUAACCGAAUAGGGGAGCCGGAGGGAAACCGAGUCUUAAUUGGGCGUUAAGUUGCAGGGUAUAGACCCGAAACCCGGUGAUCUAGCCAUGGGCAGGUUGAAGGUUGGGUAACACUAACUGGAGGACCGAACCGACUAAUGUUGAAAAAUUAGCGGAUGACCUGUGGCUGGGGGUGAAAGGCCAAUCAAACCGGGAGAUAGCUGGUUCUCCCCGAAAGCUAUUUAGGUAGCGCCUCGUGAAUUCAUCUCCGGGGGUAGAGCACUGUUUCGGCUAGGGGGCCAUCCCGGCUUACCAACCCGAUGCAAACUGCGAAUACCGGAGAAUGUUAUCACGGGAGACACACGGCGGGUGCUAACGUCCGUCGUGAAGAGGGAAACAACCCAGACCGCCAGCUAAGGUCCCAAAGUCAUGGUUAAGUGGGAAACGAUGUGGGAAGGCCCAGACAGCCAGGAUGUUGGCUUAGAAGCAGCCAUCAUUUAAAGAAAGCGUAAUAGCUCACUGGUCGAGUCGGCCUGCGCGGAAGAUGUAACGGGGCUAAACCAUGCACCGAAGCUGCGGCAGCGACGCUGAUGCGUUGUUGGGUAGGGGAGCGUUCUGUAAGCCUG